AUCUUGAUAGUUUAAUAAAAAUAUAACUCUGAAGAAGUUAAGAUUAUAAAGAUAA
rnacentral:tRNA from 1 species